UAUUGCACAAUGGGGGAAACCCUGAUGCAGCGACGCCGCGUGAGUGAAGAAGUAUUUCGGUAUGUAAAGCUCUAUCAGCAGGGAAGAAAGAAAUGACGGUACCUGACUAAGAAGCCCAGGCUAACUACGCGCCAGCCGCCGCGGUAAUACGUAGGGGGCAAGCGUUAUCCGGAUUUACUGGGUGUAAAGGGAGCGUAGACGGCAGCGCAAGUCUGGAGUGAAAUGCCGGGGCCCAACCCCGGAACUGCUUUGGAAACUGUGCAGCUCGAGUGCAGGAGAGGUAAGCGGAAUUCCUAGUGUAGCGGUGAAAUGCGUAGAUAUUAGGAGGAACACCAGUGGCGAAGGCGGUUUACUGGACUGUAACUGACGUUGAGGUUCGAAAGCGUGGGGAGCAAAC
rnacentral:rRNA from 1 species